rnacentral:rRNA from 1 species
CGCGUCCCCAAGUCAGGC